GACGAACGCUGGCGGCGUGCCUAACACAUGCCAGUCGAACGGAAACGCAGUGCUUUCUUGGGGUUCCGGGGUGGCGAACGCGUGAGUAACAGGUAAGUAACCUGCUCUACUCUUUGGUAUAGCUUAAGGUAACUGGAGUUACUCCCAUACCGGAGCCGCUCUUCCAGUGUGGGGGGGGGAACGUUUCGGCGGUCGCGGAUGGAUUCGCGGCUGAACAACUAGUUGGUGGGGUAGUGGCUUGCCAAGGCUUUGACGGGUAGCCGGCCUGAGAGGGUGACCGGCCACAUUGGGACUGAGAUACGGCCCAGACUCCUACGUGGGGCAGCAGUGGGAAAUAUUGCACAAUGGGCGGAAGCCUGAUGCAGCGACGCCGCGUGCGGGAUGACGGCCUGCGGGUUGUAAACCGCUUUCGCCUGUGACGAAGCGUGAGUGACGGUAAUGAGUAAAGAAGCACCGGCUAACUACGUG
rnacentral:rRNA from 1 species